rnacentral:rRNA from 1 species
GAUGAACGCUGGCGGCGUGCCUAAUACAUGCAAGUCGAGCGAACGGACGAGAAGCUUGCUUCUCUGAUGUUAGCGGCGGACGGGUGAGUAACACGUGGAUAACCUACCUAUAAGACUUGGAUAACUUCGGGAAACCGGAGCUAAUACCGGAUAAUAUUUUGAACCGCAUGGUUCAAAAGUGAAAGACGGUCUUGCUGUCACUUAUAGAUGGAUCCGCGCUGCAUUAGCUAGUUGGUAAGGUCACGGCUUACCAAGGCAACGAUGCAUAGCCGACCUGAGAGGGUGAUCGGCCACACUGGAACUGAGACACGGUCCAGACUCCUACGGGAGGCAGCAGUAGCGAAUCUUCCGCAAUGGGCGAAAGCCUGACGGAGCAACGCCGCGUGAGUGAUGAAGGUCUUCGGAUCGUAAAACUCUGUUAUUAGGGAAGAACAUAUGUGUAAGUAACUGUGCACAUCUUGACGGUACCUAAUCAGAAAGCCACGGCUAACUACGUG